CAGAAAGUAGUUUAAGCAAGAUUUUAAUUUUGGAGAUUAAGGAUGGAGUAACUCCCUUUCUGA
rnacentral:tRNA from 2 species